CCAGCUUCACAAACGCAAACAACACUCCGAAGUCAAACUCAAACAGUUGAAACACUCUUUUCGAAAACUUCUCUUAUCAGAAAUGGCGAAACCCAAAACCUCCGACCUUCUUCUGAUAAUCAUCAUCAUCAUCAACGCCGUAAUCUUGAUUUCAUCUCCACCGUCGCUUGCUUCGUCGUCAUCCAAAUGGACCCCACGCUUCCCCGGCCACUUCUCGCGCAACACCCAGCCUCGUCUCCGACAACAACAAACCAGUGAAGAAAUCCGAUACGAAACGAGGUAUUUCUCGCAGCGCCUCGACCACUUCAGCUUCUCGGAGCAUCCCAGGUUCUCGCAGCGGUACCUCAUCAGUACGGAGCACUGGGUGGGGCCCAACAGACUGGGCCCCAUCUUCGUCUACUGCGGCAACGAGGGCGACAUUGACUGGUUCGCCGCCAACACCGGCUUCGUCUGGGAAAUCGCGCCCCAGUUCGGCGCCAUGGUUCUCUUUCCCGAGCAUAGGUACUAUGGAGAAUCUAUCCCGUUCGGGAGCAGAGAAGAGGCGUAUAGGAACGCGUCGACAUUGUCGUAUCUGACGGCGGAGCAAGCACUUGCUGAUUUUGCUGUUCUGAUUACGGAGCUGAAGCGGAACUUCUCGGCGGAGGAUUGCCCCGUCGUCUUGUUUGGUGGCUCGUAUGGUGGAAUGUUGGCGUCAUGGAUGAGGCUCAAGUAUCCUCACAUUGCUAUUGGCGCGCUUGCUUCCUCAGCGCCAAUUCUUCAGUUUGAAGAUAUCGUUCCAACAGAAAUAUUUUAUGACUUGGUCUCCAACGAUUUCAAGCGUGAAAGUACGAGCUGCUUUAACACCAUAAAAGAGUCCUGGGAUGUAUUUACGUCGGUGGGUGAGAAAAAUGAUGGUCUUCUCGAACUGACUAAAACUUUUCACUUGUGUAGGACAUUAAAGAGGACAGAAGAUCUCACGGACUGGCUAAGCUCUGCUUAUAGUUAUUUGGCAAUGGUUAACUACCCAUAUCCUUCAAACUUCAUUAUGCCUUUGCCUGGACACCCAAUUAGAGAGGUCUGCAAAAAGAUCGACGGUUCUCCCGUGGGGACCAGUACGUUAGAACAGAUAUUCGAAGGCAUAAGCGUAUUCUACAAUUAUACUGGGGAUGUUGAGUGCUUUCAAUUGGAUGACGACCCCCAUGGCAUGGAUGGUUGGAAUUGGCAGGCUUGCACGGAGAUGGUAAUGCCGACGUCUUCUAGCUGGGGGAGCAUGUUUCCACGUUAUGAUUUUAACUUGUCAGCUUAUGAAGAACAGUGCUGGAAUGAUUUUGGUGUAAAACCAAGGCCCAGAUGGAUAACAACAGAAUUUGGUGGACAUGAUAUCAAGGCAGAUUUGGAAAGAUUUGGAAGUAACAUAAUUUUCUUCAAUGGUCUGUUGGAUCCAUGGAGUGGUGGCGGUGUUCUGCAGAAUAUAUCUGAAAGUAUCGUUGCUCUCGUUACUAUAGAAGGAGCCCAUCAUAUAGAUUUACGCGCUUCGACCAAAGAAGAUCCAGACUGGUUAGUAGAGCUGAGAGAAACUGAGAUCAAGCUGAUAAAAGGCUGGAUAGACAACUACUAUCAGAGGAAGACAAAAGUUUUUGUGAUUUAGAGGUCAAAAGUUGUCACUCUUGGUCUCUAUCUGUACAUAGUUCUCUAACUUAAUGGAUCCUACUGGCAAGGUCAUACCUUAUAUUGCCACGGUAAAAAUUUAUCUGCUGUAAUUCCACGAGUGCAUAUCAACAUUUCUAAGUCCAGGAAUAUCAGCCAUAAUAAUCCCAAGCACAUUUGGUAGUUGGCUUAUAACGUUUCACUGCUUGUGGAUAACACCCAAUUGGGGCAAUUUCAAACACCAGGAAUUUUCUGGCUCCCAGGUUGUACAAUUCCUGCAAGUAGCCACACCAGAAGAGUGUAAAAUGCUGCUCAUAAAGUUCCAUUCAACUUAGGGCUCGUUUUGGGAUAACUUUUGUUUUGCUUUUUAAUA